rnacentral:lncRNA from 1 species
CACAAAUAGAGGAGAAACUCCUGAGGCUGGUGGUGAAGCAGUUCAUCUUCCUCUGGAACCGCCUCUACGCGAGCCAGCGAUUUGAGCCGGAGAAGACUUUUUGAUUUGGUGACAAAAGUGCUGAAGAAAUGCAACGAGAAUGCUGAUGUUGUGUAUCUGGUGAAAGGUGUGAAGGAAUGCAAGAGCUGCCUGCGGGAGAUCACAGACCCGGCCGAGCUGCCCUGCAGCCACAUCUUCUGCACUCGCUGCAUCCUGGAGUGGACGAACAAGCAGUGUAAGAUCUGCAAGGAGGAAUUCCCGGAGGAUUACACACCCAUGGCUUCAGAGGCCACAAGGGAAGCUGUUGCCUGUUCACAACACAUUCAGGAGGAAAUGCAAUUCCUUCUUCGUUGAGUUCAUCGCCAUGUACUUUUUGGGAGACAGAGAGGCACCGUCUGCCGAAAUCAUUCAGCGACUGAUACAGUUUGUGGCUUGCAAACCCAGCCCCGAGCAUCAGGCGGGGGAAAGGGGUAAAAAGAGCUUGAUUUCCGCUCUAACCCGGGUCCGACCGCUCGCUCUUGGAAGUCAA